UUUUUUUUUUUUUUAAUUGAGACGGAGUCUCACUCUUUUGCUUAGGCGGAGGUUGAAGAGAGCAGAGAUUGUGCCACUGUGCUCUAGCCUGGGUCACAAGAGCGAAACUCCGUCUCAAUAAUAACAACAACAAAAAUAACCCAGGAGUGGCUCAAGAGUCCAGUGUGGGAUGAAAAUAUAAACAGAGGAAGACAACAUAUGUCACUGGGGAGGCUGGGGGAGCUAGACAAAAUUCACACGGGAGGGGCAGGGAUGAGACAAUAUUGUGCCCUGGGUCUGUGCAAACGUUGGGACCAGAAUCCACUAUAAGUUUCAUUCUUCGGAGACACGGAAGCUCUGCACUGGAGGCCGGGACUCAGGCGUGGAAGAGAAUCUUCUCCUUAUUCACCGGGGAGGCUGUGUCUUGUGCAAACAAGUCAUAGAAACUUGAUGGGAGUUGGGGAGGGACUGAAGGAUGCAUGCAAGGUUCUGGGAAGGAGUGAGAAGUAGUGAAGGCCAAGGGGCCCCCAUCACAGGCCGAUGGGGUAAGACUUCGAGAGAGCCUGAUCCUGGGGUCUUCUGAGACUCCACCAGGAGCCGGAGAGGGCAGGGAGCCAAAUCCAGCUAGGAGGUUACAGAUUGCUUUUCCUGGGCUGGGCUCCUG
rnacentral:lncRNA from 10 species